UCUGUUUUCUUAGAAAAUGUUGGCUCUUUCUAAAUGUUAGCACCCAGUUUUUUCCAAAUUAGUCUUGUUGGAAAAUGAUUAUCUAAUUCCUUCAGAGUUUUUAAACCAGUAUUGAUUUCAUUAAUAGUCUUAAGCUGUUGUGAACACAACUUAGAAAAUCACAUUUGAUUUCUUCAGAAGCUAAGGAAGAAAGAAGAAUUCACAGAACUGUAUCUAUUUGACAAUAUUACAUAAAAUUAACAGGGUAACACUUAAAAGGAAAUUGUAAGAUGAUGAUAAACCUUAUGGUAACAGACCCCUAUAAGAAUAAACUUUGUGCGUCUUAAGCUGCUGAAAUCAAUUUCUUGGAAAGAGCUUUUAAUAUCCAGUUACGUGGCCAAAAAAUAGUAGGUUACUGAGCAGGGCUGUGUCACUGGGUCUUCAGCUGUAAACACAGCUCUGCUGAAAUGUGUUUCAUCUCAGCACAGAGUCGCUCAGUGUAGUCUGUGUUAGUUUAAAUAUUUGGGCAAAAGCCAAUUUCAUUUGCUCACAUGUGCAGUCUGUUCUUUGCAAGUGCAGUCUGUUCUUUGCAAGAUCAGGUUUAAUCAUACUUGUACCAUACAUUAACAUCUGCUUUAGAGCUCAUGCAAUUUUCUCAUGUUACCAUGAACUAAAUUUAAAAAAAUAAACACCAACUACACAAAUGCUAGGAAACAAAGGAAAUGUCAAGGUUAGGAACAUCGCUACAGUAAAUUUAUGUGAUAUUUGAAUUUACAAGGUAAACGCACCCAAAUACCGCAGUGACCGUCACUCCGCACGAAACAGAGAGCUGGAAUUGUGUUGGCUCACAGAGCUGACCUGAAAUACAAAAAUUCAGACAAAGGUAUUUGUGUUGUUAGUUAGCAGGGAGCACAAAGGCACGUCAGACGAGGUUAGCCGGGCAGCUGUGUGGGUACCUGAUGUGAUAGAGGGCAUGGGAAGUUUCCUGUGGGUGGAUGCACGCUCCAGAGGUAUUUUAUACAGGCGUGCACCUGAAAAGAAUAACUUUCCCUUCCAGCCAGUCGGAUUGCAGGUUAUUUAGAGUAACGUUACCAGGCAGCACUCAAAGAACUUACACUUACCACGUUACACUUAAGACUUCCACAUGUGCAGUACAAAAUCAAAAACCCUCUUAGACUCUGAAGCCCCAAGCGUACAAACCUUUCUCGGCUCCUCCAGACUCUUGUUCUGUUUUUGCAGACGACGCCGUUCCCUGUGUUCGCCUUACGUCAGCGGAGCUGAGCCAAGCCAGCAACUUACUGUGGGCAAACUAGUGCAUAAAUAAUGAGUGUGGCAACUUGGCAGCAGCCCAAGCACAGGGAAAAGUUCAUGAAGCUCCCACUACCAGGAAAAGACCUGCCUGACUUUACAAGCAGUGGAAAUGAGUGGUCCUGAGGCAGGAUUUGCUGGAAGGCCUGGGUGACCUGGUGAAUGACUGAUGAAAAAUGACAGAGUCACACUUCUACGGCAGAUUCUCCUCAUUCUUAUUGCUGGGGACAUCUGUCAGCAGCCAGCUAAAUGUCUACAGCAUGGUCUUGGCAUAGUGCACUGAAGUAUAAACAACUGCAAGGUGAAUUUGUUCUUGGCUGAGAUCUCUGACAGGGAAACACCAGUGAAAUAUCUCACAGGAAUUAAGGAAUGUUUCUCUGGGAAAAUGACAUGGCCAACAGCUCGCUGAGGUGCCUUUACACAAAAGCAGACAGCAUUGGAAACAGACAGGAGGAGCUGGAAGCCACUGUGCUGCUGGAAAUCUAUGACCUAGCUGCCACUACUGAAACAUGGUGAGGUGAAUCCCAUGACUGGAAUGCGACUGUCAAUGGCUGUUUAGAAGGGACAGGGGAGAAAGGAGAGGUGGUGGGGCUGCCCUCUACACCAAGAGCUGGAUUGAGUGUGGAGAAUUGUUUUUUAAGAACAGCCAGCACAGCUCUGCCAAGGGCAAGUCCUGCCUGACAAGCCAGUGGCCUUCUAUGAUGGAGUGACUACAUCAGUGGACAAAGGAAGGGCUACAGAUGUUAUUUAUCUGGACUAUGGUAAAGUCUCUGACAGGAUCCCCAACUUUUUCAAAUUGGAGAGAGAUGGAUUUGAAGGGUGAACUGUUCUGUGGCUAAGGAAUUGGUUCAAUGGUCACAUCCACAGGGUAACGGUUAGUGGCUCGAUGGAUGUUGGUGACAGGUGGAAUCCCUCAGAGGUCCAUGUUGGGACCAGUGUUAUUUAAUAUCUUCUUAAUGACAUAGACAAAGGAAUUGAGUGCACCCUAGCAAAUUUGCAGAUGUCACCAAGCUGAGUGGUGCAGUUGACACAACUGAAGGAUGCGAUGCCAAUCAGAGGGACAUGGACAAGCUCGAGAAGUAAGCCCAUGGGAAUAUCCUGAGAUUUAACAAGACCAAGUGAAAGAUGUUGCACCUGGCUUGGGGCAAUCCUGGAGGCCAACACAUGCUGGGGGACAGACCAAUCCCCAUCCGUGGAAACAUUCAAGGUCAGGUUGGACCUUGAGCUCUUAGCAACAUGAUCUAGUUCAAGAUGUCCCUGCUCAUCGCAGGAGAGAUCGCACUGGAUGACCUUUAAAGAUCCUUUUCAACUCAAAGCAUGAUCUUCAGCGUUUGGCAUUUUUUUUUCCAAUUCAUUAUGGCUGUGGAAUGAAUUCUCAGCUUAAGGUCACUAAUACUCAAAGUUAAGUCUGGUGGCCUUCCUGAAUAAGGGCAGUGAAAGGUGUAGGAUAACACUGAAUAUGAACCUCAAACCAAACACACUGUUUUCAUUAUUUUUAGAAUAACAAAUAAAUACACUCUCCUUGGUAGAUGUCAUCUUCUGCUUGCCUGGCUCAGGGAUGGUGACUCAACCACUUCACUGAGCAGCCUGUUUCAGUGCUUGAAAAAAUUUUAUUUUUUUCUUUAGUUGAUUCAAUGUUUCAUGUUAAUCAGGCUUAACCUUAUUUGCACAUACAAUGAGAUAGCACACAUCUCACAGAAGGGAGCAAAGCUCAGUGUUGCUAGAUAAGAAACCUGGAACAAAUUGCCCAGAGAAAUUCUGGAUGCCCCACUGCUGGAGGUGCUCAAGGCCAGUUGGAUGGAGCUCUGAGCAAUGUGGUCUAGUGAAAGCUGUCCCUGCCCAUGGCAGUGGGGUUGGAACUAGAUGCUCUUUGUGUCCCUUCUAACCCAAGCCACUCUGAGAUUCCAAGUAAUAAUUUUAAAUUGUGCUGACAUGUAGGGGAUCUUUAUGUUCAGGAGCAUGAAGGAGUGAAGAAAUGCUCCAAGAUUUAUGCUGAGAAGAGGGGCACCCACCUUGUCAUCAGCUCCUGGCUGCUGUCAGCUGUGUAUAGUGCAUUUAAUGCCUGCUCUGUCCUUGCCUGGCAGUGCAAGCACUACAGCUCAUUAUCAAAGCUGUUGGGGAAACCAGUGCUGCAUCACUUGGACCUAUCACAAAAACCAAGACGGUGAGGAAUGGGACUCUAAAAUGAAUGUUUAUUUCCAUAAUCUAACCUUCCUCUGUAAUUUAGGCUGCUCUGGAUUAACCUGAAGAGCCUCAUUCAUGUGAUGAUAGGUGUGUUCUGAACCUUCUGUGUCCUUCUAUGUUGUCUGUUGAACCAAGAUGUCUUCCUGUCUUGCAUGAAAAACAAGGGGACAGGGACAGAUUUUUCUCUUUGGUGCCACCUCUUUCUCGUCUGCUUAUGCAUCCCACCUGUUUGGAGAGCUGCUGCUCCCUGCAGAGAGAAGUCAUUAAAGCUGAACUUUCAUCUGAACUCUCAAAGCUCUUCACGGAGGAGCCCCCUGCCUUGCCAUGGGGUGUUGUCUUACCUCCUGUGGUCCCUCUACCAUUUCUCUACCAGUUGUUUGGAGAAGGACUCAAUGCCAUCUGCUAUUUUUUCCUAAUGGCAAGCAAAGAUCUUGAACUAAUUCCACGUGGCUUUUUAUAGAGCUAAGAUUGUUAUCGUCCUAAUAUGCUGAACUGGAAGUUUAACAGCAGGGGCUGCCCUCACUCAAUCUGUUUGGGGCUGGUAACUAUAGACACAAAUGAGGAACCAGCUGAAGCUGGCUGUGUCAAGGAUGAACACUCUUAGGGCUACAGACUUUGGCUUACUUUUUUUGUUUUUGUUGGGCUGUUUGAAUUUUUGUUUUGUUGAAUUUUGGGGUUUUUUUCUGGUUUUGUUGUAGUUGUUGUUUUGUUGUUGUUUUUGUUCUUUUGGGGUUUUGUUGUAGGAUAUAUAACUAUCCCCUGUUGUAACAAUAUUUGCUAAGCAAUAAAUUCUUCAAGUUCUUGUUCAGGUAAAGCUACUGAAGCCAAUGGGGAUUUUGUCAAGGUGAGGGUUGGUUAAAAGGCUGAAUUACAAGAACGCAGGUUCUGAUUAAUUGUAUCCCACUGAAGAAACUCCUUGCUUCUCUUCCAUUUGUGAAAAAUGUGAUGUUUCUCUAGAAGGAAAAUAAAAGUGUAUUUAAAGUAAUUUCAAAUGAAUGACUAAUGAGUAGCCCAAGCCAUAUUAUAAUGAAGCAAUUUGUUUUGUAACAGGAUUAAGUAUUCAGAAAUCAGACUUUGCAGCCUAAUACAAGAAGUAUUUUAAAAAAUGAAAUGGAAGGAUCUCUAUUGACUUAGAAUCCUGGAAUCAUUAAGGCUGGAAAGGACCUCUAAGAUUGAGUCCAGCUGUUAACCCAGCACUGCCAACCCCCACCAUUAAUCCCUGUGAUUUUUAACAAACUUGGACUUGUAUGAGCUUCACUAUACAGAUGCACAAUAUAAAUACAGAGUGUUUCCUUAACUAUUGUGUGCGCAAAUCAAAAAAUUUAAUGCAAAUCAAAGCAGCUCUGUGCCUGAAUUAGUCCUCAGACGCAUGAUGACAUUAUUGAAACCAUAGUGGAAAUGUCAGAUGGUUACCAUAAUGUAAAUUUCUAUGUCACUGGAGAGAGUGGGCUUUUUUGCAUUGGACUGCAAAAAAUACAUUUCAUAUUUUUUACCAAGUUUAUCUUUAAGAGGGCUCUUGUGUAUUUGGAAUCAUACUUUUUUAGAAGUUUUUUUUCUUGCCUCUCCUUUCUUCCAUGUAUAGAAUUAGUCUGGGUGCAAAAGGGAUCGUUUUGAGACCUCCGGUUUCACUCGGAUUUAAUCAACAUCUGUGUGCUGUGGUGUGCCUCCUCUGAAAGCUCAGCAGAUUUGUCCAAGCAAGAACUGCAGAAUUUAAUCCUAAGUCACUAAUGAUAUUUAUUUUUUAUAAAUCAAAUUGGCUCCAAUGUCUAUCAUCAAAUCUUUUUAACUGCUGGCUGAAGCUAUAAAUGGGCUAUAAAUUCAGUGUAGCCUUAUCUGCUGUAUUCUGCUGUGUGUGCUCUCCAUCUCAUAGGUAGGAAUAGGAUGCCGAUUUAGUUGUGUAGAAGUUUAAAAGGAUUGCAAUGUGGAUGUUUAACAAACAUCUUCAGCCAGAAGUGAUCAUUAAGUCCUUCCUAGCUCACUAAAGCACAAAUUAGGUCCUUCCUAGCUCACUAAAGUGCAGAAGCACAAAUUAGAGACAUAAAUCAAAGUCUGACUGUUUGAAAGGAAAGACUUGGCUUUUUUUUAUUUUAUCAGAAGGACAGCUAAAUCUUAGCUUAUUUCCUCAGCUUCACCUACUUUAUCAGUGUGUUUUGUGAAGGUGAGAGGCCAGAAGGCCCAGAACUUGGUGCCAAGGAAGAAGUCAGCCUUGGCAAACCUUUUGUUGUGCCUCUGCCUCUUCAGUCAUGCAGCUUGCCUGUAGUAUGUUAGGAAUGGCCCAGAAAAAGCAGAAUUACGUUAUCUAGCAAGUACCAGUAAUACUUAAAGCUAUGAAAGAUUUGCCUGGCAGCCUUUGUAAGUCUAUUCAGAACAGAUAUUUUGGGAUAGCUAUUACAUCAAGGUUAAAAUGAUUCCCUGCCAGCACCACCAAAAAGAUGAGGGGUUACUUUAUGCAUUUCACACCAAUGAUGGGCCCCACAAAUACUUUGUUGGAGCCCUCCCCUCCCAGGACAUGGUUCCAGGCCUCAAUUUUCAUGCCAAAUAGCCAAAACCACAAUUGUUUUAAAAGCUCUUUAAGGUUUGCAAUUGCAGCACUGCAGCACAGACAGAUGCUCAGAGGAGGGCUAGCUGUGCAGUGCAGGAAAUUAUAAUCAAGUGAAAUGUAUGCCAUGAGUAACAAUACUGUGUCACAUAGCACAGCCUAAUCCAGUGUUACAGCAGUAGCAAUCCUGGACAGCUACAUCUGGUGUUCCAAUUUUGUGUCCUUUGCUCAUCCUCUCCUCCAUCCCAGAGCUCCAGCCUUCCUGCCUGCAUGCUUGCUGUCACUGGCAGGUGCUCUGCCUUUCUGCUCCUGUGUCCUUGGGUGGGAGGAAGUGAUGCUCACACCUGUCUGAGUGUUUGUGACCUGCUCUGGUGUCACUGCUCUGCAUGAAGCCUCUCUUUGGGGAAGUUAUUACUCAUGUAUUAUUACUCACAACAACUGUUCUGUUGUGUGGAUAUUUUUAUGUUGUUUCUCUUUCUGGUCAAACACUGAAAUGUACUGCUAAGAUUGCAAGGAGUUCUCUCCAGCUGUUUCAAAUGUAAAUAGUUAUU